CCUACGGGUGGCAGCAGUGGGGAAUAUUGGACAAUGGGCGCAAGCCUGACCCAGCGACGCCGCGUGAAGGAAGAAGGCUUUCGGGUUGUAAACUUCUUUUCUCAGGGACGAAGCAAGUGACGGUACCUGAGGAAUAAGCCACGGCUAACUACGGGCCAGCAGCCGCGGUAAUACGUAGGUGGCACGCGUUAUCCGGAUUUACUGGGUGUAAAGGGCGUGUAGGCGGGACUGCAAGUCAGAUGUGAAAACCACGGGCUCAACCUGUGGCCUGCAUUUGAAACUGUAGUGCUUGAGUACUGGAGAGGCAGACGGAAUUCCUAGUGUAGCGGUGAAAUGCGUAGAUAUUAGGAGGAACACCAGUGGCGAAGGCGGUCUGCUGGACAGCAACUGACGCUGAGGGGCGAAAGCGUGGGGAGCAAACAGGAUUAGAUACCCGUGUAGUC
rnacentral:rRNA from 1 species